ensembl:snoRNA Gm23760 predicted gene, 23760
CCGAAGAGCAUUGCAAGUUUGAUUGUUGUGUCACAUAUGCGUCAGAGGGUAGAGAGGUUAUAUCUACACUCAGUAUGAUAACCUACAAACAUCUCAACGAUUAAUAAUCUAACAAA